rnacentral:lncRNA from 1 species
UGGGAAAAUGAAGAAAAAGAAUAAAAAAGCGGUCCAAAUCCGACUGAAGUUUAAAACGUAAGACUUGUACUUUCAUUAUAUAAUACUCACGAGGUCAAUUCAAUAACGGGCCGAGGUAUUCCGUUUUGCAACUGGUUGCUGAAAUCAAAUCAAAGGGGACGUUGGACCCUUCGUCUUCUUCUCCACUCUCCAGAAAACUCCACGAAGAGAAAACAAGAAUGGAUCUCUGCUGAAGUUAUUGGUUUAUAAUUUUCAUUUGUUAAAUUAAUUUGGGCAGUGAAGUUGCAGAUUUUCUGGAGAUAUGGCGUUGCCUGCAAAAGGUGACUUUUGUGGGGGUGUGUGUACCAAUAUAUGGUAACUUAUGGUAUAUUUUUACGUGGGUUUACUUUGUUUAUGCACAUGCAGAAACAUAAGGAGAUAUUUUUUCUUAUUUGCCUAAAUUUUGAUAUUUAUAUGCUGAAUUUAAUUGGUAACCCACUGGUUGGAAAAGACAGGAUCAAUUUUUCGGUUUAAAUCAGUAAUUUUAAUGUUCAAAUUUGUUUUUGACGAAAUUGUGAAUUUUAAAUUUUCUAUCAUAAUAAUGGUUUCUCAAAGUCAAAGAAUGCCUACAGCAAUGCUCUUUUCAGUAUGAGAAUUGGGCUUUCAAUUUUAUGUAGCUUUCGAUAUUUCUCGUCUGGGAUAUCUGUUUAUUGUUCUGUGUAAAUAGGGAGAUUAGGAUACUUUAGGUAUAUGUAAAAAUGUUGAAAAAAGUUCACUUAUUUAAAGGGGGAAAUUCUUGAAUCGUUCCUGUUUAUAAGUAUUGUUGAAUAAGAAAAUUCAGAGGAGCAAGCGAGCUCAUAACCUGUCUAUACAAAACCUGAAGAUGUGGAGAAGAAAGAGUAAGCGUAAAAGCUCACAGAGAAGAAAGGCAAAUUGAAUCCAUAAAAUUCCACGUUGGAAGAAACUCUUCAACCUGGUAUUAAAAUACGCAUGGUUAAAUGUUUGAAGUAUGAAAUGUGAGUACCUAACAGAAUUAGUUAGAAAUCCACCAUUAAAUGACAGGAAUGAAUUUAAUAAAAGGACCCAAUUGCCCUCAAGACCCUCAGGGAAAUCUAUAAAUAGUCUCACCUAGAAGGAUAAGCGCACGCAAACUAAAAUAUCUUCCUCCUUAAUAGACAUUUUCCCUCUUUGUUGAGCAUCAAACACUGUGAGUUUAGGAGGAAAAAAAUUCUGGUUUGGUGAGAGGAGUUUGUUGAUAAUAACUUUGUUGUCAACAAGUAUAAGCUUGCAAUAAGAAAAUCUGAUCAUUGAAUACCAAGAAUGAUUAUUAUGAUCUUGUUGUCUGUUGACAAGCUUGAAAUCUAAAGCAAAGAAAGUAAAACAUAAGAAGAAAUGUUUUUGGUCAUACUGGAAACAAGAGAUAAUUUUCAAUGAUACUUUAAUGGAUAAACAUAACAAAAAAUAAAAAGAUCAAAUUACGUUGACUUUGUCAUGGGCAUCUGUAGUUAUACUGACAAUUGGCCAUGCAAUGGCUCCCGUCCCUGUGUCAAUUAAAGUAAAGGAACUUCCGUUUCAAUCUUUUUGGCUAGCUAGUUGGUGAUCCUCUUGAAGCGGUAAAUAGACCUUGUUCUUAAUCUUAAAAUGAUAUGUAGAUAGGUUGUACUCAUGGUUCAUUAUUUGGAGACAAAACUUGUGCUAAUGAGGGAAAAAGUCACAAUAAUACCUUUUAGUUCAACAUAUAUCUCCAUAUGUAAAUGACUAUGUGGUAUUUCGAAUUUGUGGGCACUUCUGCUAGGAUAUGUCUAAGAGAUUUUCAGUUGGUUGGAUUGGCAAGUUGAGGAAAUUAUACCUUGUCAAAUUCAGUUUUUUUAUUGGAGCUAAUAGAUGUAAAAACAUACCCAAAAGGUGAAAUUCCUUUUUUUCUCAACAAAAUUCACGAGUUUACAGAUAUCACAAAGGGUUAAUGCAUUUACACAACUGCUUUUUUUAUCUAGCUAAGUGCUAGCUACAGGUGUUGAUGUUUUGCAUAUCAUAGUUACAAGAGAUCUUACUCUUUUUGUGCUAUGCCUUUAGUUUUGGAAAAGAGAGCAGAGAAGUUUGAGUUGAAGAAAUUACAGGGUCCAGCAGUGACAAAG